CGAAAAUAAUGCUGUCAUACUUUUGUCGGUAUGGUUGUUUAAUUGAUAAGGUAACUUGCUGAUCAUUGAAUCAAAAGCCGGACAUUUUCCCCUCUCAUCAAAUAACUGCAGAAAAUGUUCAGGACCUAGACAGCUGCACUGGAGUUACACAUUCGAAGGCGCAAUAGAAUCAAUAAUCUAAUGGUGCAUACAGCAAUAAGCAAUAAGCAUUUGAGUGUGCAAUCAUAAAGGGGUGACGCACACAUCUCUCCACGUACCUAUGUGUACACAUUUAUAUCUUAUAUCAUAAAAAAAGACUUUCAAUAUUUAUAAUUGUUGAGGAUUUGGAGUAUGUAUGGAGAAUAUUUUUCAAACAAAUAUAAAUGUUUGACAAUUUGACAUUUUUACGAGUGAAGAGGUUUUGUUGACAAUAUAUGAACAAUCGUGCAGCUGCUGUAGAAUGUAAGCAACUACAACAGGUUAACACAUUUUUCUUCUUAUUUUUUCAAAUCCAAACUUCGCGUCAGACAUCAGGAUGUGCACGUUUAAAAAAAUGUACAAUGGUCGUAGCCAUAAGCCCAUAACUCUCAGCCAUAUGCAAAUAAGUAACAAGGUAUAAAAUAUAUUAGGUUAUCACUUAUCCGCAAAGCAAAUAUUUUUUUUAUUUCUGUUUUUGUAAUAAUGUCAAUUUUGGAUUA